rnacentral:lncRNA from 10 species
CCUCCUUCCCUCUCUCUUUGUACAGAGAGGCUUCUUCCUUCUUUCUUCUUCCUUCUUUCUGCCUAUUAAAUGCUCUGCUCCUUAAAACCACUUCACGUGUGUCUGUGUUAUUCUACCCAAUUAGCAGGAUACAAAAGCCCUAGUGUUUCUCCACUCGUCAGAGCUGAGUCAUUUUGGUGCAUUGCAUGGGAAUCCAAGGUACAGUCUUCCUCAGAGUGAGUCAAGAAAACUUACUUUGAAGUAUUUGCAGCCCUUGCAAAUUCAGUAAGACAUUCUCCUGUCAACAAAAUUUGGACCAUGUUUGUUUUAAACUCUCAUCAUGAAACCCAAGAUCACAUAGACUUUCUCCUGUUUUCAUCUGGGUGUUUUAUAGUUUUGCAUUUCACAUUUAGAUCUAGAGUUCAUUUCUGCGCACAUGAUUAUCCAAUUGUUCCAGCACCACUUGUUGAAAAGACUAUCUUUCCUUUAUUGAAAUCCUUUUGCAACUUGGUAGAAAACAAGAAAUCAAUUGACCAUAUUUUUAUUAAUCAAUUUCUGAACUUUCUAAGUCUGGCCCCAUUGAUGUAUGUGCCUAUUUGUUUGCAAAAUGCAGAUAAGAAUAUGAGCUUCCAAAAAGCAAAAGACCAAUGUCCAAAUUUUCUUCCCUAAUUCAAGUUCUGUGUGCAUCAUUUUCUCAAGUAUCCUUAUCUCUAAAAGCAAUUAUUAGGAGUAGAAAAAAUAGGUGACUAGAAUCUAGGGGGAAAUGUACCCUGGACAUUCAACAACUUAGAAGCACCUGAGCAUAGAUAUAGUCAGAUACGAUAAGAACAUAGGUUUCUGAGUCAGGGUUACAGACAACAGUUAGGUACAACAUAACUUCCUACAGAUUCUCUGUUGGUUAAUUGGAAGCCAACAAUUUUUAAAAUAAUUUUAUUUUGCCAGGAGCUAUUUUAUUGUGAGCUAAAGUUCUACCCAAAUUUUGUCACUGUGCUAUCUGCCAUGCCCGCUACUCAAUGUUCUCUCACUUCUAGAAACUUUAUUGGGAUGCUAGGUAAAGCUGGUAAGGGCUGCUGACCAGAUUUCUUUCUGAAAUGGCGGCAUUUAAAAAAACUGUAAAGGUAAUAAAAAUAUUUUAAAAAAUAAUCUAUCUAUUCCAAUUACAUAGUCCUCCUUUCUUUUUCUCUUUCUUUCUUUCUUUCUUUCUUUCUUUCUUUCUUUCUUUCUUUCCCUUCCUUCCUUCCUUCCUUCCUUUCUUUCUCUUUCCUCUUUCUCUUUCUUCUCUUUCUUUCUUUUUCUCUUUUUCUCUUUCUUUCUUUUUUACUUUCUUUCUCCUUCCUUCCUUCCUUUCUGAAUUUCAUUUCUUUUCUUUGUUGUUGUUUGGCAUGGUGUCUAGCUCUGUCACCCAUGCUGGAUUGCAGUGCCAUCAUUUCAGUUCAUGACACCCUUUACAUUUCAGGUUCAAACAAUUACCCUGCCUCAGCCUCCCAAGUAGCUGGGAUUACAUGCACUUGUCAACAGACCUGGCAAGUUUUUGUAUUUUUAGUAAAUAAAGGUUUUCAUUAUGUUGUCCAGGCUGAUCUCAAACUCCUUAUCUUAAGUGAUAUACCCACUUUAGCCUUCCAAAUUGCUGGGAUUACUGGCAAGGACCAUCAUGCGUGGCCCGUAGAUUGUUUCUUAAUAUCCCUUCAAGCCAGAAAUUUCCUUUGGUAGUAAGAGUUAAGCAACAGAUACCAGCCAUGUACCUUAGAAUUAUGCUACCCUGUAUGGUAGUCAUUAUGCACAUGUAGUUUAUUAAGCAUAGAUUAAAAAUUCAGUUAUUCAGUCACACUAGCGAUAGUUUUAAGGAAAGAAAUAAAGGGAAAUUGCAUUCCUAGUCUCUGACAAAACAGAUUUAAAAUAUUUUUACUUAGCCUUCCUAAGCCUCCUGACUGUGUAAUUUUACCAUCAGCUUUCACUGAAGGUAAUUAUUGCUUGAUGAAGACUUAGUAGUGCCACUUUGUAAAUUGUGCCUUGUUGUGAUUUCUGAUCACUUUUUUUUCUUUUCCUUCUCUCUUAUUUAACUUUGCAUUUGUGUGUUUGAUGUUUUCCUGUAGUGGUAUUUGCUAAACCAUUUAUAUUUUCUGUGUAGUCGAAGUUCAUGUAAAAACGUUUGAGGCACUAUGUGGUGGUUGUAAGUUGAUAAUAACAUCACUGAAAUUGAUUGCAUGUAUAUAUAUGCAU